rnacentral:rRNA from 1 species
GACGAACGCUGGCGGCGUGCUUAACACAUGCAAGUCGAGCGGAAAGGCCCUUCGGGGUCCUCGAGCGGCGAACGGGUGAGUAACACGUGAGUAACCUGCCCCAGACUUUGGGAUAACCCUCGGAAACGGGGGCUAAUACCGGAUACGACACAGCUUCGCAUGGGGUCUGUGUGGAAAGUUUUUCGGUUUGGGAUGGGCUCGCGGCCUAUCAGCUUGUUGGUGGGGUGAUGGCCUACCAAGGCGACGACGGGUAGCCGGCCUGAGAGGGCGACCGGCCACACGGGGACGGAGACCCGGCCCAGACCCCUACGGGGGGCAGCAGGGGGGAAUAUUGCACAAGGGGCGGAAGCCUGAGGCAGGGACCCCGGGGGGGGGAGGACGGCCUUGGGGUUGUAAACCUUUUUCAGCAGGGACGAAGCGUAAGGGGCGGUACCGGAAGAAGAAGCCCCGGCCAACUACGU